UGAAACCUGGCCCCCCCGGCCCGGAUUGUAAUCUGUAGAAGGUGCCUCGGGUGCGAUUCCGGUCCAAGUUCCUUGGAACAGGGCGUCAUAGAGGGUGAGAAUCCCGUACGUGCCCGGCCAUCAACCCCGUGUGAGGCCCUUUCGACGAGUCGAGUUGUUUGGGAAUGCAGCUCUAAAUGGGUGGUAAAUUUCAUCUAAAGCUAAAUACCGGCCAGAGACCGAUAGCGCACAAGUAGAGUGAUCGAAAGAUGAAAAGCACUUUGAAAAGAGAGUUAAAAAGUACGUGAAAUUGUUGAAAGGGAAGCGCUUGCAACCAGACUCGCGCGCGGGUGUUCAACCGUCCUUCGGGGCGGCGCGCUCUCCCGUGCCCGGGCCAGCAUCGGUUCGGGCGACCGGAUAAAGGUCCCGGGAACGUGGUUCUCCUCGGAGAAUGUUAUAGCCCGGGGCGUAAUGCGGCCAGCCCGGACCGAGGACCGCGCUUUUGCUAGGAUGCUGGCGUAAUGGUUGCCAGCGACCCGUCUUGAAACACGUAAGCAAAAGUUUGGCCCCUUUCGAAUCUCCGGAUGCUAACAGUGGAAAUAGGGACCAAGGAGUCGACCUCUUACGCGAGUGUUUGGGCGUUAAACCCAUGCGCGUAAUGAAAGUGAAUAUGGUAUGAGCUUCGGCGCAAUAUCGRCCGAUCUUGAAAUUUAUGGAUGGAUUUGAGUACGAGCGCAAGGGGUCGGACCCGAAAGAUGGUNAGCUAUGCGUGAAUAGGGUGAAGCCAGAGGAAACUCUGGUGGAGGCUCGCAGCGGUUCUGACGUGCAAAUCGAUCGUCAAAUUUGCGUAUAGGGGCGAAAGGUAAGCUUCAAACUUGGUUCGUUCGUUUAUACUCUGUGCUAACGUGGUUCCAGAMUAAUCGAACCAUUUGGAWACGUCCCACCUAGGUGGUUAAUUUUCGGAGUCUCCGGGGCCUUUUCCCGGGGGCGACAUCGCUAUUCAGCAUGGAUCCUCUCCUGCCCGAGGGAAACAUGUACCGGACC
rnacentral:rRNA from 1 species